GCGGAUGUAGUUUAGUGGUAGAACUUCAGCUUCCCAAGCUGACCAUGCGGGUUCGAUUCCCGUCAUCCGCUCCA
rnacentral:tRNA from 1 species